rnacentral:rRNA from 1 species
GAAGCUGCGGCAGCGACACUAUGUGUUCGUUGGGUAGGGGAGCGUUCUGUAAGCCUGUGAAGGUGUGUCGUGAGGCAUGCUGGAGGUAUCAGAAGUGCGAAUGCUGACAUAAGUAACGAUAAAGCGGGUGAAAAGCCCGCUCGCCGGAAGACCAAGGGUUCCUGUCCAACGUUAAUCGGGGCAGGGUGAGUCGACCCCUAAGGCGAGGCCGAAAGGCGUAGUCGAUGGGAAACGGGUUAAUAUUCCCGUACUUGGUGUUACUGCGAAGGGGGGACGGAGAAGGCUAUGUUGGCCGGGCGACGGUUGUCCCGGUUUAAGCGUGUAGGUGUGUGUUCCAGGUAAAUCCGGUUCACUUUAACACUGAGGCGUGAUGACGAGGCACUACGGUGCUG